GAAGCUCUAUACCUGCACUAGCAUAACGCUGUAGCUGAGUUAAGACCACCUGCCAGGAGCAUCACGCGACACCAGCCAUCUUCUGGCCAAAGCUGAGCUCUGACAGCCAAUUCAGAAGGCUCAGAAUGUGCAAAAUAUUAUUUGAAUGGGUACCUGAAACCAUGCUGUGUUGCUUCUCAGUAAGGAGACCUGAAGCAUUCCAGAAGUAAGAAUGUCAAUGUUCAUUUCAAGUGGUUGAACAAAAACUUCAAGACUGCACUCACUGACUCUGGAGUGGUCUCCUGCACUACAUGUAAAGAGCAGCACGUAGGAGUGCACAAUUUCAAAACAAAAAUGUGAGUUUUCAAAUUGGGAAGAGGUCCUGUGUACAGGAAUGAGGAAGAUGCAGAUAAGUUUUCUGGUUUGUUUGAUCAGGAAAGCUCCUUCCAUUCUUAUUCCAGUGUUGGCAGAUGCUUAAGUCUGUGACUCUCAUGUUCCAGAUCACUUUUCUAAAUGCUAAAUCAUAAAUCUCCAGAAGAAGUUUUGUACUUACCAGACUAAAUAUCUUCUAAAACAAAUUAUUAAUGAAAAAAGCUCUCUUUGCAGAACACCCAGUUUUGUCAAAAGGACAAUAUUUUACUAAAAGCACAUUGAAGAUACUUUGGCUAGCUUUUACUAGUCAAACUUCUAAAUGAAAAGGGUAAACAUAUCAGAAGUUACGAUGAUGGUCAGGAUCAAAGCAUGAAAUAACAUCUUACAAACAGUUUAUCAACUUUCACACAAUGAAUCUGCUCUAUGUUUGCAUUUGUGAGAUGGCAAAAUUGAGGUUAUUGUAUUGAUCACUAAUCAUAAGAAGCUGAGCUUGUUAUUUUACAGAAUCUUCAUUUUUACUGGUUUCAGCUGAAAAAAAUUGCACAUAUUUGACUAAUUAAAUAACAAGAAGACAUUACGUCUGGUAAUAUUUAGUUAAUUAAUAACAACAUAUUUGGUUAAUUAAGUCGGAAGGGCAAGGCAUAUAGGAAAGCAAACAUUUCAUUUUGUAUUUGGGAGGCUGAAGAAGCUUUGAGUCAUUAUGCUGAAUAUUAUUUGCCAGAUUCCUUGUUAUUAUCUAUCACCCUUGUUAUGAAGUCAAUAAACUAAACUUACACUAACCAAAGAUCUAAUCGUCAUAUUAUAAGGAAAAAGAUUAAUAUGUAUAAUUAUAGAACAUCAAGCUGCUUUUUCAGAGUAAACCAUUCACAUUUGUUCUCUCUGUUCCUGACUAAAAUAUCUUCCCACUUUGUGUCUUACAGUGUUAAUUGCCUAUCCUCUUUAUUUUUAGCCUUUUAUUAUUUUCAUCUAUGUUUACAUGGAAAAUCUGAAG